rnacentral:lncRNA from 1 species
AUGACAAUACAUUUCAAUUCCUUAAGCAUCCAAAACGCGCCGAAGGCAUCGACAGAAGCUAAAGACGUGGCUGGAAUAGCUCGGCGGCGAGGCUGCAGGGAGCGCGCGCCGGUGAGCGCGGCGCCGAGCACGUUGCAGACCUCCGCGGCGGGAGGCGAGCGGCUGGAGCGGGGCCUUGUUCGGCGGSGGAGCGCCGGGGCCCCGCAGCAGCGCUUCCACCUCCCCGAGGCGGCUGCGGACGCUGCCGAUAACCCCUGGGAGARGUCAGAGCCCUUCGGGGCGGGGGGCGGCAGGGACGCAGGCGCCACCGGCCCGGAAGCGCCGGGCUGCACAGCGGCUCUGACGAACCAGAUCAGGUCAGGUUCAUUUGGACACUGUUUUCUUACUAACCCAAAGCUGAUGCCCUCCGAAGGACUCCCGGCCCCCGAACCGGUUUGCAGAUCCCCUUCUGAGCUGGACGGGCUGAAAUUUCUCCGUCGUGUGCAUGUGGCAGCAAGGUUCGUCCCCUGCUCAGCACCGGGGCAGCCCUACCGGGGGGGUUAUAUUAAAUAUAAUAUAGCAGCCUUCCCCCGCUCRUGGCUGAAAGCAGCAGCCGCGUGGGCCCUGCGCACGGUCGCACCUCGGGGAUGGUUUCUGCUUGCUGCUGGGGACCCGAAGCCGGGCGAGGUGAACCUGAGCACGACGAGGAAGGUGGCACGUCCGCGAGGCAGCGCCGGGGACAGCGUCGUCCUGGGGAGCCGGCGGCAGAGGUCAGGGCUUGCGCUGCGUUUCGGCAGGGCGUCCCCUGGCUCCCCGAUCCGCAGACCGCAAAGUAGCGCCCCGUGUCGUAACGCGGGACCCGCAGCCCGGGAGCUGCCUCGCUUCCCGCGGGUGGGUUUCCUUGUCCUUUCUGCGUUCGCUAUCUCCAAGUCUUUAUCAAACCAACAAAGCGGCUGGAAAGAGAAACCGGGACGCCAGGCACGGGUCCUGAGCCAGCGGGCUCUCCCGGAGCGCCGGCAGGAUGCCCCGCGACCCACCGCGGCCGGGCACCGCGGCAAGCUCGAGCGCCGGGGCUGCGGCCGGAUUUCGGACACUCCCGAUCCUGCCUUGCGGAGAUCAGGAAACUCUCAGACAGCUGGUUGCGGUUAA